UUUUAAGUAAAUUAGUACGGUCUUAACGAUAUUGUGUCACAAAUAAAAUAUUUUUUUUAUCGUACAUUUUUACAGUACGUAACACAUUUUAUCUAUAAUCACAUAUCAUGCGUAAUUCUUUUCAUCUAUCAUUACAAAUCAAUUAGCACGUAACAUAAAUGUUCCAAACACUGAAUAACAUUGAUGAGAUAUACCGACCGUCUCUAAUGCAAGUAACAAAAGGCUUAGUGAUUGAUACCCAAAAUCUCAAAUUCGAAUCCUAACUGAUUUACAUUUCCAGCUAAGUUUAUUUCUAAAUAAAAUAAAGGAAGCGAAUAGCAUAUAUACUAUCUAUCUCUUUCAAAAAAAAGAAAAAAGAAAAAGAUUUAUGAGGUAUACUU
rnacentral:lncRNA from 1 species